CUAUACGGUGAAACUGCGAAUGGCUCAUUAAAUCAGUUAUCGUUUAUUUGAUAGUACCUUACUACAUGGAUAACCGUGGUAAUUCUAGAGCUAAUACAUGCUAAAAACCUCGACUUCGGAAGGGGUGUAUUUAUUAGAUAAAAAACCAAUGCCCUUCGGGGCUCCUUGGUGAAUCAUAAUAACUUAACGAAUCGCAUGGCCUUGCGCCGGCGAUGGUUCAUUCAAAUUUCUGCCCUAUCAACUUUCGAUGGUAGGAUAGUGGCCUACCAUGGUAUCAACGGGUAACGGGGAAUUAGGGUUCGACUCCGGAGAGGGAGCCUGAGAAACGGCUACCACAUCCAAGGAAGGCAGCAGGCGCGCAAAUUACCCAAUCCCGACACGGGGAGGUAGUGACAAUAAAUACUGAUACAGGGCUCUUUUGGGUCUUGUAAUUGGAAUGAGUACAAUUUAAAUCCCUUAACGAGGAACAAUUGGAGGGCAAGUCUGGUGCCAGCAGCCGCGGUAAUUCCAGCUCCAAUAGCGUAUAUUAAAGUUGUUGCAGUUAAAAAGCUCGUAGUUGAACCUUGGGCCUGGCUGGCCGGUCCGCCUCACCGCGUGUACUGGUCCGGCCGGGCCUUUCCUUCUGGGGAACCUCAUGCCCUUCACUGGGCGUGUUGGGGAACCAGGACUUUUACUUUGAAAAAAUUAGAGUGUUCAAAGCAGGCCUUUGCUCGAAUACAUUAGCAUGGAAUAAUAGAAUAGGACGUGUGGUUCUAUUUUGUUGGUUUCUAGGACCGCCGUAAUGAUUAAUAGGGAUAGUCGGGGGCAUCAGUAUUCAAUCGUCAGAGGUGAAAUUCUUGGAUUGAUUGAAGACUAACUACUGCGAAAGCAUUUGCCAAGGAUGUUUUCAUUAAUCAGUGAACGAAAGUUAGGGGAUCGAAGACGAUCAGAUACCGUCGUAGUCUUAACCAUAAACUAUGCCGACUAGGGAUCGGACGGUGUUAGUAUUUUGACCCGUUCGGCACCUUACGAGAAA
rnacentral:rRNA from 1 species